GGUGACAACCACAUGAAGUGUUUAGAGCUCUGCAUUGGCCACAGGCCCAUUUCUCUCAGGUUAGGAAGGCCUGGUACGAGAAUAGUAUAUUCCAAUCAGCCUUGAUGGAAACCGUGUAAGUCACCAUCAGCCAUGCAUGAUCUGAAUUAUCAUUAAUCUGAGAUACAGAUGAGAAGAAUAGUAAAGCAGCCAAAUUGGUUUAAACAUGUGAUUGGUAGACAUGGUUUGUUUGGGUUUUUUUGUUUUUUGGUUUUUUAUUGUUUGUUUUGGUUUUGGUUUUGGUUUUGGGGGUUUUUUUUGUUUUGUUUUGUUUUGUUGUUUUUGUUUUUGUUUUUUUUAUUAGCGUUGUAUCUACAGAACACUUAUCUGUUUAGCCUGCUUCUUAUUUCCUGUCACUCACCCCAAUGUUUAUGAUUGUUAGAUAACUCUCUCCCGGC
rnacentral:lncRNA from 1 species